rnacentral:rRNA from 1 species
CCCCGGCGCCACAAGUGGGAACCGCUAUUAUUGGGUCUAAAGCAUCCGUAGCCGGCAAUCUAAAUGCCCUGUGAAAUAGUUAGGCUUAACCUAACUGCGUGCAGGGUAGACUGGAUUGCUUGAGACCGGGAGAGGUCAGCAGUAUUCCUUAGGGAACGGUAAAAUGUUAUAAUCUAAGGAGGACUACCAAUGGCGAAGGCAGUUGGCCAGAACGGGUCUGACGGUGAGGGAUGAAAGCUAGGGGAGCGAUCGG